GCACUUUUGAUUUAGUGUAAGAUUGUGUAGAUGUAGAAGUGAUGGAUGGGUUGUUGACCAUUGUUGACUUACGGUGGUGUUUGGUAUUGAUUCCAACCGGAUGAAGCUCUUGUGCUCCAAAUGGACUCUCAGAAGCUGCAGCAGUUGGGUCAGCUGCAAUUUCUGUUUCUGGAUAAUCUCUUUGCCUGCAGUCAUCACGCUAUUUGUAUAGUCUUCCUGUAGGUUUCCCAUGCACAAGAAUCCAUAAGAAUUUAUAAUGAAAGAUCAAAAGAACUAAGUGUCUCUUUGUCCACAAAAUUAUUCCUAUUUUGAUGUUAAAAGAUUUGUAGAUAUUUGGUUAACAGUAAAACACUUUCCAACAAUUAUAGUUUCUUUCAAUUGAUAGAUAAGUACAGGUUACAUAAAAUUAUUGAUAUAUACCCUCUCCAGCAAACUUGCAACACUAGUACAUGUUUAAGUGGCAAGAAUAGUAGCUGAAUGCAAAUAUAAGUAAAAGACUAACGGAAGUUAUUGUGUUCACCUUACAGUCCAUCAAUAAUUGGAAAGACAAUCUUCUUUGUAAAGUUGAACGCUUUGCUCCAAGCAUUAUAGGAACUAAGAUACUCACACAUUUAGAAUUUAUGCCAUCAAUAUCAGUUAUAGCAUCACCUGAUGAAAUCAGAUCUCCUACUUACAUACAUUAGCAAUUAUUUCCAUAGGGUGAUGACUAAUGACACAAUUGUUAAAGUAACAAAUGAGGAUUUCUUGCAACAGCUUAUCAAUCUAAUUUAAGUAAAAUUGUGUCAGAUCUAGCAUGAUUUGCCUAUUUGAGUUGCGUUGUAAGAACAAAGGUACCUCCAGUCUAUGAAUUGUGUUUUCCCUCUCGCCAGUUGACAAUACCUUCUGCGUGUCAACUCUAAUCAUGUCUUCACAAGUUCCCUGUUUGAUGCCACGAGUAAGAAACGUGAAAUUAGCACAAAUUUUCUAUGCACAGAUCAAUAGAAAUACACUAGUUAUAUGUGUGCCUGUUUCUGUAAUACAAUUGCAGAGUUCUAAUAAUCCUGACUACAGCACCUCAAUAAACUUAGAUUAGAGAUAUGGAUUCUUACGAUAUAAAUUACAUUACUCGUGAUAUGGAAAAGCAUACAAGCACUAUUGUCAGGUACUGGUACAUUACUUGAGUAUGUAAGCUGAUCUUCAUAAUGGUGCUUGAUCUUCCUUCUUCAGCCAUUUCAGCGCUUUUCAAACCGACGAGUUUCAUCAAUGGAACAGCUAACGAACUGAAAACGUCUUCUGCCUACACAAAUCCGAAAAAGGUGAGUGAAUGAGAGCUUGAGUUGAUCAUGGCGAUAAACAAUUCGAGAGAGUUUGGAGUGAAGUUUCGCCAUUGAUGGAGACGGUGGACGGUUCUGAGAUCUAGAACGAUGAUAGGUCAUGUCGCCGUUGUCGUGGCGGGAAAAUGCCGAUGGUUUAUGAAGAUAAAAGGGGUGAUUGCGAGUUGCUAUUUGAAACGGAUUAGUAGGUUUUUGAACAUACCUAUGAAAUUGAAAUCUAUUAUAUAUAUACUUAUAAUAAAUUUAAAGUUAUUUUUUGUCA